rnacentral:rRNA from 1 species
UAGGGAAUCUUCCACAAUGGACGCAAGUCUGAUGGAGCAACGCCGCGUGAGUGAAGAAGGUUUUCGGAUCGUAAAGCUCUGUUGUUGGUGAAGAAGGAUAGAGGCAGUAACUGGUCUUUAUUGACGGUAAUCAACCAGAAAGUCACGGCUAACUACGUGCCAC